AUUGAACGCUGGCGGCGUGCCUAAUACGUGCAAGUCGAGCGAACCACUUCGGUGGUGAGCGGCGAACGGGUGAGUAACACGUAGGUGAUCUGCCCAUCAGACGGGGACAACGAUUGGAAACGAUCGCUAAUACCGGAUAGGACGAAAGUUUAAAGGUGCUUCUGGCACCGCUGAUGGAUGAGCCUGCGGCGCAUUAGCUAGUUGGUAGGGUAAAGGCCUACCAAGGCGACGAUGCGUAGCCGACCUGAGAGGGUGAACGGCCACACUGGGACUGAGACACGGCCCAGACUCCUACGGGAGGCAGCAGUAGGGAAUCUUCGGCAAUGGCCGAAAGCCUGACCGAGCAACGCCGCGUGAAUGAUGAAGGCCUUCGGGUUGUAAAACUCUGUUAUAAGGGAAGAACGACUUUAGUAGGAAAUGGCUAGAGUGUGACGGUACCUUAUGAGAAAGCCACGGCUAACUACGUGCCAGCCGCCGCUGUAA
rnacentral:rRNA from 1 species